GUGGGUGUAGCUCAGUUGGUACAGAGUAUACUUAACAUGCAUGAGGCUCUGGCUUCGAUUGCCAGCACUGAAA
rnacentral:tRNA from 1 species